UUGGGUAACACAUAGUAGAUUCUGGAAGCAAUCGUGGGGAGAGUGUGAAAUAAACGCAGAUGAUGUUUUCGGCCAGCUGGGAGGACAGGCUAAUGCACACUUCAUCCGUGAGCAGAACCGUGACCCAGAGCGCAGCGAAUCAGCUCUCAGGACCACCAGCACGGACGGUCAUGGUUAACGCAGGACUCCCAGUUUCCCAUCGUGCCGCAUGCAGCUAAUUAACUCAGGGCUGGACUGGCUAUCUGGAAUACUGGCCAUUUUCCUCGGUUGGCGAAAUUCAUCGUGGAAGACCUCCCAAAGUACCGUGGGGCCAUGGACCCCUAAAUGAGUUUUAAUCCCAGUUCCCCCCUGGUCUCUCACCUGGACUCAAUAAAAAUGAUUUUAAUCUUAA